AACGAACGCUGGCGGCAUGCCUAACACAUGCAAGUCGAACGAGACCUUCGGGUCUUGUGGCGCCCGGGUGCGUAACGCGUGGGAACCUGCCCUUAGGUUCGGAAUAACUCUCCGAAAGGGGUGCUAAUACCGAAUAAUGUCUUCGGACCAAAGAUUUAUCGACCUUGGAUGUUCCCGCGUUGGAUUCGCUAGUUCUUACGGUAAGAGACUACCAAGGCGCCGAUCCAUAGAUUGGAUGAGAGAAAGAUUAGCCACACUGAGACUAGGACACGGCCCGGAAUCCUACGGGAGGCAGCAGUGGGGAAUGUUGGAAAGCGGGGGGAGGGAUGAUGCAGUAAGGCCGCGAGAGUGAUGAAGGCAGUAGAGAUGUAAAGCGCUUUUACCCGGGAUGAUAAUGACAGUACCGAGAGAAUAAGCUCCGGCUAACUCCGUG
rnacentral:rRNA from 1 species